GGGUGUAUAGCUCAAGUGGCAGAGCACAUGCUUAGCAGGCAUGAGGACCUGGGUUCAAUCCCCAGAACCACCU
rnacentral:tRNA from 1 species